rnacentral:tRNA from 2 species
GCGGGUGUGGCGGAAUUGGCAGACGCGUAAGAUUUAGGAUCUUAUGUUCAUUCGUGCAGGUUCGACCCCUGUCACCCGCACCA